GCAGGUGGGCCCCUGCCCUGUCUUUCUCCACUGCAAGGAAACUAGGAAAGUUCCUAGCAUAGGGCUCAGCCCCUGGCAGGUACUCUUGCAGAAGCCAGGACUGUGGCUCCAGAGCACAGCUAGGUCCCUUUGAUGCUCGUAGGCUGCAGGCAGGAGGACAUGUUUCUGGGAUCCACAUUGUGGAUCAGCCUGCUCCAUGCUUUUCCUGUCCCAUGGCUUCCCUGUUCAGUAGUGCAGGGACUCAGCAGAAUCCUCAUCCCUGCAGCUGCGUACUGGCCCAAGAAAAGGAGUCCAUAUACUAUUCAGUCUUGGCACACAGGCCUCAAACGACUCAGAUGAGGGUCCUGCUUUUGGGGAGGUCCCCUGGUUAUGUUGAGGCUGAGAUUUAGAAUAAUAAUAGUGACACCAUAUGGUAAGUCAUGUACAGGUGCAUGGGAUCCUGUGGGAAGGUUAUGUAUAAAUGCAGGAGGGACAAAGUGGUAGUGACAGUUGUGACUGACGACUAAGGGACUUGCUAGCUAGGCAGAGGAGCAGCAAGAGGACAGCAGCAUUUAGGUGGGAAGAAUAGUAGUAAAGUCGACUUGAGGUGGGGUGCUGAGAGAUGAAACUGGGUAAUUAGGUUGCGGCCAUGCCAGGGAGUUUGGAGCUGAUGAGGAGUCACUGGAGAGUUUUAACCCAUUCAUGCCAGAGGUUACAAAGUUUUUUGUGUGAAAAAUCAGACCUUGGCAAUGACCUUGAGCAGUAGGCUAUAAGUAACUCCCAAAAGCUUAGCGUUCCAAUAAUGGAAUACUAGGCAUAAAUGGGUUAAGCUAACUUGCACUUUGAGCAGUUCCCUGCUGAUCCUUUAGGAAGAAAAAUCGGGAGGAGAAGAAAUUAAGGGCGUGAGCAGAGGUGACAGAUGACAGAAUAAGGAAUGGAGAACGGAGUCAGUGAAAUUUAGUGGGAGUGACGACACACCAGGAAGAUAAAUUUAGCUGUCAGGGUAUAGAUUUGAAGUAGUCUGGGACUUGCAGGUUGGAGAUCCUGGCAAUCUUCAGCUGCUCAGUUGUUGGUUUGGCAUCUCUAGUGCAGCGUUUCUGGGCCUCGUUGUUGAUGAUUUGGCUGAUUGGUACUUUUGUGCUGUAGGGGGUCUGUCCUGUGUAAUCCCAGCAGCAUCCCUGGCCUCUAUCCACUGGAUGCUAGUGCAUUACCCCACGCCAACUGGCACAACCGAAAAUAUCUUCGAGUAUUGCCGAAUAUUCAGGCCAAAUCACCCUUGAUUGAGAACCACUGCUCGAGCAAGCUGAAGGUAGGAGCCGCCAUUCAAGAAGCAGGAGAGAAGACAUGGAGAAUGCAGCAUGGAUGGCCAGAGAAGAGCAAGAGCUACCUUGGGGUGGGGAUGAGGGCAGGACUGGAAAAGCUUCAUUGGAUUUGGGAGCUGGAAGGUUGUUAGGGCAGUGGCCACUACAGUUGAGGUGGGAGGGCAGGAGGCAGAGACAAGCAAGUAUAGAUUUUAAGAAGCCUGGCUGUGAGGGAAGUGGGAAAACAAGGCCAGUGGUCAGAGGGGACUGUGGCAGGAAGAGCAGUUGUGCUGGGCCACUCAGAUUGUGGUUCCAACCUUGGGCACCUGUUGUCUCCUGCUCACGAGGUCAGCGAGCAGGCAGUCCAGGCUGAGUGGACCUUCUUUGGCAGGUCCUACCGCAAACCAAGCUGAUUUCCAGGGCCUUGAUAAUUCUCAGUGGGGAGGCAGCGGCUCAGACCAAAUGGCAGGAGCUAUCAGCCCCAAAGUGUCUGCACCUCUUCUGAAUUCCAAGUCCCAGGGGCAGGGGCUGAGUAGUGAGGUGGGUGAAGAAAAGAGCCACCGGCUACCCGAAUAAGCCCAGAAUAUAACUCCCAUGUCUGAGCUGACCCAUCAGUUGUGAAAACCAGAGCCUGUGCAGAGGGGAGAGCAACGGGUGACAUGGGCCCCUUGUGGCCUUGGAGAGUCACUUCACUGCUCAGAGACGUGCCUGAUUCUGACAUUGGGAUUUAAAUCCUCUUCUAAGAUUCAUUUGGGGGGUGAUGAAAGAACAGGAGCACUGGAGCAGGCAGAUAUGAGGACUGUAGCCGCCCAGAAUGGGCACUGAGGCACUCCCAGAACAACAACGGACAUGAGUGCUGAGUUCUCUGCCCUCCCCAUUUGAUUGAUUGAUAGGUGAAGAGAGAUGGGCUCAGAGACGGCUGGGAUGUUGACUCGUACUUCUGUCAGUAACCAGCAGGGUGGCUGCUUAAAGAUGACCAUGUGGAAGCAGAUACCAGGAGUCCUCUCCCAAAGCCUGGCAGCAGCCAAAGCCUAUCAGCACCAAGGAACCGACACAGCUCCACCCUGAGCAGGCCAUGCACCUGCCUCUCCAACACCUGUUGGCAGAGCCUUGCCCUCCUCACGUUCAUCCUCACCUCGGCCAACCUUGGUAAGAACACUCAACAUUCACUGAGUACGUACUCUGCACCAGGUACUGUUCAAAACAUAUUAUGUGUAUUAACUCAUCUAAUUCCUGAGCCCCAUGGGAAUGUGCUGGAAGGAGAGAAAUUCUUUGGCCCAGAUUCCCGCAUGGUUUCUAGUCUCUAUUUCUAGCUGUGCUGUAAAGCUUACAUAACCUAAUUUGCAUUAUGGUACUAUUUUUAAAAACCUCCAAAGAUCGCUGCUUCAAAGCAUCAAUGGAAUCUGUUAGUUCCUACCUAAAAUGAUAAUGUGGGAAAGGAUAUCUAUUCUUACAACCAACUCAACUGGAAUUCUUGACUUAAAACAGUCUUUUGGGAAGAGGCUAUUAAGAAAGGAAGGGACUGAUUCUUAUAUAAGUACUAGCUCUGUGCUCUGUAAAUAAGGGCUAGAGAGAAACACAUCAAUAUUGAAACCCACCUCAGCAGUAGUUUCUUGGCUCUGCUGUUGUUAUCCAUUUACCACCUGUCUCCUUUCCAAGACUCCUAAUAACACUGAGGAACCUGUGGUCACUGCACAGCAUGGCGUCAGACUGUAUAGGGUAUGAGUUUGAAUACACAGAACCUUUCUCAUUCUGGAUGAUUCAGAGAUAGCCCCACCCUCUCUCAGGAGGCACUGGCAUAAGAUGAAUGGGAAUUAGGGGAAGACCAUUCACAGAGCAGGUUGUUUUCAGCUUUAACUGCUCUUAAUGACCCUGGUGUAUAGGGCUCUGGAUUGCUUGAAAUCUAAUUGCUGGGGUGGGGCAGGGAAGGCGGGGGGAUCUCCUUAGUUCUUUCCUCUAACUCACUACUGAAGAUUUCCCUCCAGUUAUUAAUGAAAUCUAGGAAACAGGGAAAUUAUGGUGAAUGACUGAUUAUAAGGGUGAAACUUUCUCAUUUGUCAUUAAAAAAAAUGUGCUCAGUGUUUAAAUUAACCACUUUGUCCUUUGUUCUACUAUAAAAACUACUUGGAAAGGACUGUAGUAUUUGUUAUGAAUUCAUUUCAUUACAUUCACUUAUUGGACAGAGGUCCAUGAACAUAAACCAGAGUAGGUUUCAGGCUCUCAAAACUGCCAGGGAAAUAUUUUAAAUGAGUGAAUUUCCAAGUGACGCCUAUUUUGGUGAUGUCAGAGGGCCUACAUUAUUAAACAGUUUAUAAUUAAACUAAUAACUGAGCUGAUAUUCUUUUUGCCACAGUUAACAAAGUAUCUGGUUCCCAAAGUAGGAUAUUUGUAAUAGGCCCAAUUCCAACAACAAGGAGACUGUCAGAAUUAAAAUGCUUCCACUGGGCACAGCCUCUGUUCACUUGUACCCAGAAGAGGACCUGGCACCUAAUAGGCACUAGGCUGUUUCAGCAGGACUGGAUCGCACUCAGUACUAGUCAGCUAUACCUCGUACAACCUUUUAUAGAGGCCAAAGCCACAUUAAAUGUACAUACAGAUUCUGCAUGGAAAAAAACAAGAGUUGUUCCAGCAACUUUAAAGUGAGUAAUCAAAAGAAACUGCUACUUAGAAACAAAUAUGAAACAUGAAAUUCAUUUUAAUCUACAUAUAUCAAAUACAGCCUUAGCACAGAACAUCUUACACAAUUAAAUGCAUUUAUGGGACACACCUAAAUGAAGCAAAUCUUUAUUAAAAUAUCUGCCUAACCCUCACAUCUUUACAUGAACUCCAUGAUGGUUGAAUAAGGUGGGAAAUCAAUAAUCUAGCUACCUAACCUGGAAAAGACAGAUGGAUUGCUUUAAGUCUAUUUGGUCUCUGCAGACUCUGAUAUUCACCACCCCGAGUCUUGCUAAAGUUGGUUCUGCAAAUAAUUAACUUAGCUCAGUCAAUUAUAUAUUUUUCCAUAGUUACCAUAAUAUUUUGUUUUGUUUUUUUUUUUUCAUUUUCUAUUGCUUUUUUUUUUUAUGGCUUCUUGCUGUUGUUGUAUUAUGGCAUACAACACAGAUCAGAGACUUUCAUUUCUCGGAGAAGUUUCUCUCCUUGAGAAAUUGGCACUUUGAUCCCCAGCUUGUGUAACAGCUUACACAUACGGAUCCUACCAGCACUGUUCCCAACCUUGCUGCCUAGGAAAUUCCACUGCUUUGGCCAAAAGAGUGCCCUGUCAUUAAAAUCUUCUUAGAUGAACUGUUCCUAUCACUGAAUUCUUACAUUUAAACAGGUAUGUGUGUGUAAUUUACAUACAUGUUAUAUCCUAAGUUUCUACACACACACACACUUAGUGUAAGUGAAAUGUCUGUCUUGAAUAAAAAGCAGUUACAAGGGUAUUAAAACAAAUGUUGAAAAAUAACUAUUUUACAUUUAGACCAUACAAUUUUUAAAGGUAAUGCGAUGACAUAUGACCUAAGAGAUCAAAUACAUCAUAUAUGAUUGUCAUAUAUGCAUGUUGUCUUAAUUGACUAUUUUUCUCUUUAAUCAGAAAAUAAAAGAGCUUACCUUUGUAUACUGAGAUCACAGCUUACAGUCACUAUAUCUCAGCCUAUUUUAUACAAGUGAUAUGGCUACGAAGGUCCGAGGAGAACGAGAAUAAAGUGAGAUAAACGUGCUGAAAACUGCUUAAAAGUAUUAACCUGAAAUACACAGAGGGUCCAACACCAGUUUUAAAAAUACAUUAACGAGGUAUUCUCAGCUCUUCAAUUAAUAAUGGUGGCUGAUUCAUGAUUUUCAAACAUUCACCCAAAAUUUAAAAAAAAAAAAAAAAAA